rnacentral:rRNA from 1 species
UGGGGAAUAUUGGACAAUGGGGGCAACCCUGAUCCAGCCAUGCCGCGUGAAUGAUGAAGGCCUUCGGGUUGUAAAGUUCUUUUGGCGGGGACGAUGAUGACUGUACCCGCAGAAUAAGCUCCGGCUAACUUCGUGCCAGCAGCCGCGGUAAUACGAAGGGAGCAAGCGUUGUUCGGAAUUACUGGGCGUAAAGGGCGCGUAGGCGGUUUAACAAGUCAGGCGUGAAAGCCCCGGGCUCAACCCGGGAAUAGCGUUUGAGACUGUUUUUCUAAGAGUUCGGAAGAGGUAAGUGGAAUUCCCAAUGUAGCAGUGAAAUGCGUAGAUAUUGGGAAGAACACCAGUGGUGAAGACGGGUUGCUGGGCUGACACUGACGCUGAGGCGCGAAAGCCAGGGGAGCAAACGGGAUUAGAUACCCCCGUAGUCCCUGAGCGGGCUGGCAAGGCGCAU